GUGAGGAAUUUUGCACAAUGGGGGCAACCCUGACGCAGCGACGCCGCGUGGAGGACGAAGUCUUUCGGGAUGUAAACUCCUGUCAGUGGGGACGAUAAUGACGGUACCCACAGAGGAAGCACCGGCUAACUCCGUGCCAGCAGCCGCGGUAAGACGGAGGGUGCAAGCGUUGUUCGGAAUUACUGGGCGUAAAGCGUAUGUAGGCGGCAAGUUAAGUUCAAUGUUAAAGCCCACGGCUCAACCGAGGAGAUGCAUUGAAUACUGGCUAGCUAGAGGGUGUUAGAGGAAGACGGAAUUCCCAGUGUAGCGGUGAAAUGCGUAGAUAUUGGGAGGAACAUCGGUAGCGAAAGCGGUCUUCUGGGACAUACCUGACGCUGAGGUACGAAAGCGUGGGGAGCAAACGGGAUUAGAUACCCUGGUAGCC
rnacentral:rRNA from 1 species